AGGACGAACGCUGGCGGCGUGCUUAACACAUGCAAGUCGAGCGGAAAGGCCCUUCGGGGUACUCGAGCGGCGAACGGGUGAGUAACACGUGAGCAACCUGCCCUUAGCUUCGGGAUAGCUCCGGGAAACCGGAAUUAAUACCGGAUAUGACUAUGGCCGACAUCAGCCAUGGUGGAAAGUUUUUCGGCUAGGGAUGGACUCGCGGCCUAUCAGCUAGUUGGUGAGGUAACGGCUCACCAAGGCGACGACGGGUAGCCGGCCUGAGAGGGCGACCGGCCACACUGGGGACUGAGACACGGCCCAGACUCCUACGGGAGGCAGCAGUGGGGAAUAUUGCGCAAUGGGCGAAAGCCUGACGCAGCGACGCCGCGUGGGGAUGAAUGCCUUCGGGUUGUAACCCUUUCAGCAGGGACGAAGCGAAGUGACGGUACCUGCAGAAGAAGCGCCGGCUAACUACGUGCCAGCAGCCGC
rnacentral:rRNA from 1 species